rnacentral:rRNA from 1 species
AACGGGAUUUAGUAGACAGAAGCUUCGGUGGAAGAUUACUAAUGAGAGUGGCGAACGGGUGAGUAACGCGUGAGCAACCUGCCUAUGGCAGUGGGAUAGCCUCGGGAAACCGGGAUUAAUACCGCAUAAAAUCGUAGAAACACAUGUUUUAACGGUCAAAGAUUUAUCGGUCAUAGAUGGGCUCGCGUCUGAUUAGCUAGUUGGUGAGAUAACAGCCCACCAAGGCGACGAUCAGUAGCCGGUCUGAGAGGAUGAACGGCCACAUUGGAACUGAGACACGGUCCAAACUCCUACGGGAGGCAGCAGUGGGGAAUAUUGCACAAUGGGGGAAACCCUGAUGCAGCGACGCCGCGUGAACGAAGAAGGUAUUCGUAUCGUAAAGUUCUGUCCUAUGGGAAGAUAAUGACAGUACCAUAGAAGAAAGCUCCGGCUAAAUACGUGCCAGCAGCCGCGGUAAUACGUAUGGAGCGAGCGUUGUCCGGAAUUAUUGGGCGUAAAGGGUACGCAGGCGGUUUAAUAAGUCGAAUGUUAAAGAUCGGGGCUCAACCCCGUAAAGCAUUGGAAACUGAUAAACUUGAGUAGUGGAGAGGAAAGUGGAAUUCCUAGUGUAGUGGUGAAAUACGUAGAUAUUAGGAGGAAUACCAGUAGCGAAGGCGACUUUCUGGACACAAACUGACGCUGAGGUACGAAAGCGUGGGGAGCAAACAGGAUUAGAUACCCUGGU